GUGCUUGCUUUGGCAGCACAUAUACUAAAAUUGGAACGAUACAGAGAAGAUUAGCAUGGCCCCUGCACAAGGAUGACAGGCAAAUUCACGAAGCGUUUUU
ensembl:snRNA U6 U6 spliceosomal RNA